rnacentral:rRNA from 1 species
GCAACUCGACUCCAUGAAGCUGGAUUCGCUAGUAAUCGCGCAUCAGCCAUGGCGCGGUGAAUAACGUUCCCGGGCCUUGUACACACCGCCCGUCAAGCCAUGGGAGUCGGGAGUGCCUGAAGUUCGUGACCGUCACAGGAGCGACCUAAGGCAAGACCGAUGACUGGGGCUAAGUCGUAACAAGGUAGC